GGAUGCGAGGGUGACCUGGCUGUGACAUCUGUCUCCCCAUUGUUUGCCAGGGUAGAUUCUGCUGAUCUGGCUGGCUAGGCAGGUGUCCCCUUCCUCCCUCACUGCUCUACGUGCAUUCCUCCCAAAGCUGCGUACUGGGUGCAAGAGGAUGACCUUCCCCAAUAGAGGAGGGCCAUUCUUCAGUGAAGGGUAUACGAGUAGCUGCACUCCUCUGCUAGAAGCUACAAACAAGCUCUUAAGGCAUGUGAUUCUAAAACAUCAAUUCACUGAGAAAUCAAAUACUAAAAUAAAGUUA
rnacentral:snRNA from 1 species